AAAUCAAGCAAGGAGCUUUAAGAAUGCCACGAUCAAAAAUUAUGGUCUAACUAGGAAGCCUAAUGCUAAAAAUUGGGGGCUUGAGUUUUUUUUCUCUGCAGGAGAAUGCAAAGGAAGUAUUUAAUGCUACGAAAGGAAACGUGAUUGGCUGGAACAAAAAGAGCAAAGGCCAUCAGACUCCAAGCGGUCAUUCAACUGGAGCCUCUGACAAUGGCCCCUUCUGCCAGGAACCCUUAGAUAGGUCUCUGAGGGAGCGCUGACUGCCGAUUCCCCCAAACAGCAUUCCCCUGUCAGUCGGAAGUAUUUAAGAUCGGUCUUCAUCCUUAUCGUUAAUCUAAUAGCAGUUAGAUGUACUUCUUUAGAGGGGGGAAUGACAUCAAGGUGGGAGGGGGUCCCUGGAGAAACUCCAACCAGCCUGCCCACUAGGGUGGAGCAUUGGGAAGUUCACGAUGUUUGCAGCAGGGAGGAGCCUGGCCCCUGCUCUUCCAUUGUGGAAACUGAGAUUUGAAUGGCCAGGUGGGAAAUGCUCUGGCAGGGACUCUGGCCUUGUAAGAGUCCCUGUUUGCCCCUUUUCUUCCUUUUCACCCAAUAAAACCCUGCUUUA
rnacentral:lncRNA from 1 species